rnacentral:rRNA from 1 species
CUCCAGACUCCUACGGGAGGCAGCAGUGAGGAAUAUUGGUCAAUGGCCGAGAGGCUGAACCAGCCAAGUCGCGUGAGGGAAGACGGCCCUACGGGUUGUAAACCUCUUUUGUCGGGGAGCAAAGCGAGUCACGUGUGACUCAUUGAGAGUACCCGAAGAAAAAGCAUCGGCUAACUCCGUGCCAGCAGCCGCGGUAAUACGGAGGAUGCGAGCGUUAUCCGGAUUUAUUGGGUUUAAAGGGUGCGCAGGCGGGGGUCAAAGGCGGGGUAAAAAUGGGGGGGCCCACCCCCGGCCCGCCGUUGAAACUGGCAGUCUCGAGUUGGAGAGAGGUAUGCGGAAUGCGCGGUGUAGCGGUGAAAUGCAUAGAUAUCGCGCAGAACUCCGAUUGCGAAGGCAGCAUGCCGGCUCCACACUGACGCUGAGGCACGAAAGCGUGGGUAUCGAACAGGAUUAGAUACCCGAGUA